UACGUAGGUGGCAAGCGUUGUCCGGAUUUAUUGGGUUUAAAGGGUGCGUAGGCGGCUUUGUAAGUCAGUGGUGAAAUAUGGCAGCUUAACUGUCAAGGUGCCAUUGUUACUGCGGAGCUUGAGUACAGAUGAGGUAGGCGGAAUUGACGGUGUAGCGAUGAAAUGCUUAGAUAUCGUCAAGAACACCUAUAGCGAAGGCAGCUUACUAGGCUGUAACUGACGCUGAGGCACGAAAGUGUGGGGAUCAAGCAGG
rnacentral:rRNA from 1 species